AUGCUUUUUUCCCAAUUGCUACUUCUCACAGCUUCUAUUUGUUCUGGUGUACACAUACAGAGAGACUGAAAGCGAAAAAGGAGUGAUUGCUCUGCAUCUGAGUUUGAGUUUGUUUUGGUUUGGUUGGUGAAAUUUGAAGUUUAGUGAUCUUGUUGGAAAGCGGUCUGCAAGCAGAAGAGAAACAAUUAAUUCUUGGCAUUUUCAGCCAGAACAUAUCAAACUCCAGUCCUGGGGGAAGUUCAAGCAAAGGCAGAGUUAGAUAAGGAAUAGGGGUUGAAUUUGGAGCUGCAAUCAUGCUUUGACAG